AGAGGAAGUCCGGUGCGAAUCCGGCGCGGUCCCGCCACUGUCACCGGGGAGCGUUCCUCCGAGCGACGGCCACGGCCCGUGUUCCUUACGGGCGGGAAGGCCGGGGGCGACGCCGAUCCGGGAGCCAGGAGACUC
rnacentral:ncRNA from 2 species